CCCCUAGAUGUUCUGGGCCGCACGCGCGCUACACUGAACAGUUCAACAAGUCUUAACCUUGGCCGAUAGGUCUGGGUAAUCUUUGAACGCUGUUCGUGAUUGGGAUAGACCUUUGCAAUUAUGGGUCUUCAACGAGGAAUUCCUAGUAAGCGCAAGUCAUCAGCUUGCGUUGAUUACGUCCCUGCCCUUUGUACACACCGCCCGUCGCUCCUACCGAUUGAAUGGUCCGGUGAAGCGUUCGGACCGUGGCCUUUGGACGGUUCGCCGUCUGUUGGCUGCGGGAAGUUCGUUAAACCUUAUCAUUUAGAGGAAGGAGAAGUCGUANCA
rnacentral:rRNA from 1 species